rnacentral:rRNA from 1 species
GCAGUCGACGAUGAAGCCCUUCGGGGUGAGAUUAGUGGCGAACGGGUGAGUAACACGUGGGCAAUCUGCCCUUCACUCUGGGACAAGCCCUGGAAACGGGGUCUAAUACCGGAUAACACUCCUGCCUGCAUGGGCGGGGGUUAAAAGCUCCGGCGGUGAAGGAUGAGCCCGCGGCCUAUCAGCUAGUUGGUGGGGUAAUGGCCUACCAAGGCGACGACGGGUAGCCGGCCUGAGAGGGCGACCGGCCACACUGGGACUGAGACACGGCCCAGACUCCUACGGGAGGCAGCAGUGGGGAAUAUUGCACAAUGGGCGAAAGCCUGAUGCAGCGACGCCGCGUGAGGGAUGACGGCCUUCGGGUUGUAAACCUCUUUCAGCAGGGAAGAAGCGAAAGUGACGGUACCUGCAGAAGAAGCGCCGGCUAACUACGUGCCAGCAGCCGCGGUAAUACGUAGGGCGCAAGCGUUGUCCGGAAUUAUUGGGCGUAAAGAGCUCGUAGGCGGCUUGUCACGUCGGGUGUGAAAGCUCGGGGCUUAACCCCGAGUCUGCAUUCGAUACGGGCAGGCUAGAGUGUGGUAGGGGAGAUCGGAAUUCCUGGUGUAGCGGUGAAAUGCGCAGAUAUCAGGAGGAACACCGGUGGCGAAGGCGGAUCUCUGGGCCAUUACUGACGCUGAGGAGCGAAAGCGUGGGGAGCGAACAGGAUUAGAUACCCUGGUAGUCCACGCCGUAAACGUUGGGAACUAGGUGUUGGCGACAUUCCACGUCGUCGGUGCCGCAGCUAACGCAUUAAGUUCCCCGCCUGGGGAGUAC